GCCAUCGUUUGUCUCCGCUUCAUGCACCGAUCCCCGCGCAUCUCCUGCUCCGGCGGCACACGCCCUGCUCCUCACAGACAAUAGACGGAGCGAGCUGCUGAUAGAAUUUUCUGGAUUCUUCACUCGCCUCGUCGUCAGACGGUCAAGCAACUCGCAGCAAGCAGGAUUAUAAGAAUCUGUUUUGCCUCCUAAAAAAAUUUGAGAAAUGGUGGAUUCGCAGCAAUGGGUCUACAAGCAUCCCAGAAAUCUUGAAGGAGUUCCCCAGGCUUCUAGGAAAACUUGGCAUGAUGCUAAAAGGGAGAGUGCUUUCAAAGUCCUGCCCACUCUGCUUCCCCUAUCAAUAUACAAGAGCGGAGGAAAGGUCUUCAGACCCACAACCAGAAUCCUGGAAGUCAUUCAUUUGACGCACAACCUGUGGGGACCAACAUGGUGAUGCAUUCCUGCACGUGUUGUGCCUUGGUGACGAGACAACGACAUCCCACACCUUCGCCAUUGUUUCAGGCCAUGCCAUUGAAACGGACUUGUUGCUUGAGGCUGUUUAUCUUUUUCAAGUCCUUUUUUGUGCUUGAUGUUAGCUACACUAACAUCUUCCUUCCUGGGAAUUUCUCCAGCAUGGAGUAUAUCAUAUUGAUGGACAUGAGUCUUCUUUUGUGAAGUUUUUGAGGGCAACAGUUUUUUCUGGCCACUUGUAACGUUUAAAUUUUUUGUCACAUGUAUUGUCUGUUGUAGGUUUCUUUGUUUGGCUUAGUUUUAAUGGCACAAAUGUUUGGACUGAUUCUCAUGUGGCAAUAAUCAGUUUCAUAGUGUUAUGAUGCUGCAAUGUUGACAUAGAAUAGGAAUCUAUUCUAUGUCAACAUUGUCAAUAAGUUUUGUGAUUUAAAGAAACUGAUCUACAAAAAACGUUGUUUUAUUUGUCUCUGUAGGGGUUGGAUAUAAUGUG